GACGUAGGGCGCGAGCGUUGUCCGGAUUUAUUGGGCGUAAAGAGCUCGUAGGCGGCUUGUCGCGUCGAAUGUGAAAUCUCAGGGCUCAACUCUGACAUUGCAUUCGAUACGGGCAGGCUAGAGUUCGGUAGGGGAGACUGGAAUUCCUGGUGUAGCGGUGAAAUGCGCAGAUAUCAGGAGGAACACCGAUGGCGAAGGCAGGUCUCUGGGCCGAUACUGACGUGAGGAGCGAAAGCGUGGGGAGCGAACAGG
rnacentral:rRNA from 1 species